GUGGAGCCAUACACUGUUCCAAUUCAAAUGGCGCCAUUCCCAAAACAAAUACUCUUGAACCUUGCUGAUAUUGCCGAGUUGCCAAACAGGACUUUAGUCGACAUUAUGGCUAUUGUAGUCCACUUGGAUACAA